rnacentral:rRNA from 1 species
UACGUAGGGACCAAGCGUUGUUCGGAUUUACUGGGCGUAAAGGGCGCGUAGGCGGCAUGACAAGUCACUUGUGAAAUCUCCGGGCUUAACUCGGAACGGCCAAGUGAUACUGUCGCGCUAGAGUGCAGAAAGGGCAAUCGGAAUUCUUGGUGUAGCGGUGAAAUGCGUUGAUAUCGGCUGGAACUCCGAUGGCGAAGGCAAGGUGCUGGACCCUCUCUGACGCUGAGGCGGCGAAAGCCAGGGGAGCGAACGGG